AUGAAUAUUCUUUCCACCUCCUUACAUCAUACAGAUAUCUCUCACUACGUAAAAUAAAAUUGUGACUACUUUUGCAUAUACGUGGAGCUCCAUUUCAAUUAAGACCAUAAACGUAACCAAUCAAACCAAACAAAUUUAUAAACAUAAAUAAAUAAAAAAACACAAAGCAAGAAACACAUGAGCUUCAAUUCAAAUAAAUAAAAAAUGGGUUUGCACUUUGCAGCAGGUUUACAGGAUUAUUUGUAAGUACAAAAAUUCAGUUAUGUGAUGGUGGAAUAACUAGUGAUUAUGUGAGAAAUUAUAAUUCUAAUGUGGAUAUGCCACUGAACAGUGAUGUAUUUCAAGUGCCACCGGGUUACAAUGCUCCCCAGCAGUUCAUCCUGUAAAUGAAUGUGGAUCUUGAAGGUUUACAUAACACAAGGUGAUCAUGAAGGAAAGGGUGUGACUGUAUCGUGGACCACACCUGAUGAACCCGGCUCAAAUGCAGUCCUCUAUUGGGCCGAAAAUAGUAAUGUUAAGAGCUCCGCGGAGGGCUUUGUGGUUAGCUACAAGUACUAUAAUUACACGUCUGGAUAUAUACAUCACUGCACUAUCAAGGAUCUUGAGGUACAAUGUAAUUCUAUAUGGCACGAUGACCUCAAAUAAUUAUCAUAAAUGUCUGCAUCA